UACGUAGGGACCAAGCGUUGUUCGGAUUUACUGGGCGUAAAGGGCGCGUAGGCGGCCUGUUAAGUCGGGUGUGAAAGCCCCGGGCUUAACCUGGGAAUGGCCGUUGAAACUGGCGAACUGGAGUGUGGCAGAGGGGGGUGGAAUUCCGGCGUGUAGCAGUGAAAUGCGUAGAGAUGCGGAGGAACACCGAUGGCGAAGGCAGCCCCCUGGGCUAACACUGACGCUCAGGCACGAAAGCGUGGGGAGCAAACAGG
rnacentral:rRNA from 1 species